rnacentral:rRNA from 1 species
AUACGGAGGGUGCAAGCGUUAUCCGGAAUUAUUGGGGUUAAAGGGUCCGUAGGCGGCUAGAUAAGUCAGUGGUGAAAUUCUCUCGCUCAACGAGAGACCUGCCAUUGAUACUGUCUUGGCUAGAGUUACAGUGAGGUGAGUGGAAUGUGUAGUGUAGCGGUGAAAUGCAUAGAUAUUACACAGAACACCGAUUGCGAAGGCAGCUCACUAACUGUAUACUGACGCUGAUGGACGAAAGCGUGGGGAGCAAACAGGAUUAGAAACCCUUGUAGUCC